UCAGUUACUGGACAAAUGAAAAUGUCUGGAUAAGCCAGAGUAGGAUAAAUUUUAAACAAUAAUAAUGAAAUAUGUCCAAUUUAACCUAGGCCAUAGAAAUAUGAAGCAGGUUUUGUUGUUGUUUUGUUCUUUUGUUUUAGGAGAUGAUUGAAGAAGGGUGCUUGGUUUGUCGAGUUCCGUAAUUAGGAUGCCAAAUCCUGAUGCUAGAUCCUCUCCUUUAGACCUUGCUGCUCAGCGCAUGCCAUAGGAUUAUCCUAUUAAUUUUCAAUGAUCCUGGGCAGGUUUUUAAGUAAAAUGAAAUAUACCUAAGGUAUUAGCUGUAAGUUCAGCAAACCGUGAUGCUAUAAUUCAGUUUAGCAAAUGGAGAAAGGAGGAAGGAGUGGAGGACAUCGAGAGAAAAGGCAAGCUGCGGUACCAGAGAAGCAUUGUUCUGAGCCUGAGGUUUGUCAGCUAAGUGGAAAACAGUGUGUGACAUAUGUGCUCAAAGUGUGUGCAGUCUGUUUCUUUGUGAGCCCCCCGGUACAUAGUUGUGUAUUCUUAGUUGUGGGUCCUUCUAGUUGUGGCAUGUGGGACGCCGCCUCAGCGUGGUUUGAUGAGCAGUGCCAUGUCCGCACCCAGGAUUCGAACCGACGAAACACUGGGCCGCCUGCAGAGGAGCGCGCGAACUUAACCACUCGGCCACGGGGCCAGCCCCUUCAGAGGCAUAGGGAGAGUUGAAUUGCUCCUGCUUCUCGCCCAAUGUGUUUGCCAUCUGGACUGCCACUAACAGCUAGAAAUGCCCCCUUCCUCCCAAAGAAAAAAUAAAAGGUAAAUGCUUUUGAACACCACCUUAUGGCUGUUUAAACAUCAGUUUCUGACUAUACACAGUAGCUCCCUCCACCCCUCCCCCUCACUCCCUUCACUUCCCUCCCUCCAACUAUCCUGACAAGGAGAGAGAAAGAAGGAAGUCGUACAUGUAGCACAUUCCCAUUAUGAUCCCCAGUGUGGUGCCAUUAAAUAGGACCCUGUCUGAGUGGGUCUAAUUGGCCAAUAUAUGGUGCUUUGUAUUGAUGCUUUUUAGUCACUACAGAGCUCGAUAUACUUACAUGUAUAUAAUUCA
rnacentral:lncRNA from 1 species